ACCUCUUAAGCGAUUCAGCAACCCACCUCCUUUUCCAAUGGCUUCCGCCGUGGAUUCAUUGCCGGCAUGACAGAUGAGCCACGAGAACCUAUCGCUUCUCCUACUGGCGUCUUCAAACCGGAGGAACCAGAGCAACUAUCUCCUGCCGCCACAUCGGGUCUGAAACCACGCCAAAGAGAAGAGAGACUAACUCAUAGCUGACGGGGAAGAGAUCUCAUCC
rnacentral:lncRNA from 1 species